AGGUUGUAGAUAUUAUGAAAGAUAAUUUGGACAACAUAUUAAAGCGAGAUGAUAAAUUGGAUGAACUAGAAAGAAGAUCGUGUAAGUCAUGAUUUUCAACACAGUAUUUCUUUUAAAUUUUCUAAUUUUUAUUUCUUUGAGUUUUGUCCCAUGAGUGCAAGACCUUGUGUUCUUACCCAACCAUUAAUUCAAAGCAAUUAGAGGUGUCAAAUUACUACAAUACGUUAAUUUGAAUAAAAAAUGUUAGUCAAAAUCGCAUAUUUUCACCUCUGUGCCUAAUUAAAACAAUGCAUAACAAAAGAAAAAGCAAUUAAUCACGAACGUGUCGUAGCUUAGCUAAGAUUUAUUCCUACUUAAUAAUAAUUAUGAAUAUGUGCGUAGUUUAAUGAGUGAAAUUCAUCAACUUAUGUACCAAAGGGAGUUCAUUUUCAAUGGUUUUAGACCCAACUCUCAACGGUGAAAAUAUGCGAUUCUGACUAACAUUUUUUAUCGGAUUCGUAUUUGCUAAUUUUUUAUCCAUUUGGCAUGAAGAAAAUAUCAUUCAACAGCUAAAAGCAUGAUCUUUCCGAAUGUAUUAAAAUCUCGUUCAUACGCAAAGUAUAAAUUCGGAUACAAUAGCGCGCUGAAGUUCGAUUACCUUUUUUUUUAUACACCCUGUAUUUCUUCACAAAAUGCCUGCAUAUUUGAUGAAAAUAAUGCAUGGCUUAUGUAAGUGAUAAUUAUAGGGUCAUAUAACUAGUUCUACCUUUGUUCAUAGAUCAACUAAGAAACGAGGCAGAAAUAUUUAAAGAGAAUACAAAAGAAAUUAAACGCAAGAUGUGGUGGAGGAAUAAAAAGGUAAAAUAAGUAACAUACAUACACAACGUGAAAAUAUUACUUCUUCAAAGUCAGUGCCGUGAAAGAAGAGUUGCAUUUCAACAAUAUAAAAGCAAAGAUAGAUGGAACCAUGUGAUUCAAACGUCGCGCUUCUCAUGUGCCGAAGCAUUAAAAACAAUAGAUAAUUAUAUAAUGAG